rnacentral:lncRNA from 1 species
CAGCAUCGGGCAGGGCGGCUCGGGGCCGGGGCGCUCCCGCGGGCCCGGGGCAGGGUGAUGGCCACCGCCUUUGUUCUCUCUCUGGGGGCUGAAGAGCCCCGACUCCCCGGGACACUGGGCUGUCGGUAGGGAUACGCUGUCUUUCAGGAGGCGCUGCCGCUUCUCGGAGAGUCGGGCAUUGGGCAGGCCAGCAGCGGAGAAAAGCCGAGGAUGGACCCGCGACGGGCCGGACGCUGCUCGGCGGGAGGCAGACGUGGAGCGCGGCCGUUACUUGGAGCGGCGGGCGGUGGUCCCAAAACAGCUGGCGCAAAUAAAGGAGCACAAGCAUCAGGCAGAUCUGGCCAAGCUAGAAGACAAAAGAGAAGGGGAACAAAUACAGUUAUCAAACAGAUUGUACCAACUGGAAAUUCAGAAAGAGAGAGAAAAAGAAGAGAAAGAAAAAGUUGAACGCCGGAGGCAGCACCAUGAGUACAUAGCUGAAAAGAAAACAAAGCUGAAGAGAAACAAAAAGAAGACAACGAAGAUGACUAGAUUGAGGCUUAUAUUAAAGGAAAAGAAAUGAUCGCUGAUCUGACAAGAGAAAAAGUUGCUGAGACUAAUAGGGUAAUCCAGGUGCAUAAGGACAAAGCUCUUGAACAACUAACUGCACAGAUAAAUGAGGCAUUUAAGGUUGAAGAUGAUUGUCUUGCUAGAGUUGCUGCAGCAGUAGAAGAUGAAUAUCAAAUAAAAAAACAAGAGAAAGAAGCAAAACAAAAGGCUGCCAUUGAAGCUAUUGCUGAACACAGAGCCACUGUGGUAAGAAACCUAGCCUGUUCUUACCCCUUUUUCUGUCAUGUACUUC